rnacentral:rRNA from 1 species
AGCCUGCCCAGUGAYAAAUUCAACGGCCGCGGUACCCUAACCGUGCAAAGGUAGCAUAAUCACUUGUUNUCUAAAUAGRGACUUGUAUCAACGGCAUCANNANGGUUGUACUGUCUCCCCCCUCCAAUCGGUGAAACUGAUCUCCCCAUGAAAAAGUGGGGAUAAACUCAUAAGACGAGAAGACCCCAUGGAGCUUUAAGACCUACAGCAACCUAGCAAAACACUUCUAUUUAGCUAUAAAAUUAUGCUUGUGGGCUUUAGGUUGGGAGGACCGCGGAGUACAAAACAACCUUCGUAAUGAAAAGAAUAAAAUCUUUAUCAAAGAACCACGACUCUAAGAAUUAGAAAACUAACGUACAUGACCCGAUAUCGAUCAAUGAACUAAGUUACCCUGGGGAUAACAGCGCAAUCCACU